GCUUAUGUUUUCCACAAUAGCCAGUGUCUUCAGUUCAAUCCAUAUAUGCUGGCUAUUAAAUUUUGUGCUUGAUGCAUUUUAUAAGAGUAUUUAAGGUGAUGAUAAUAAAACCAGAUUGUACAAAUGGUAUAUUCUUUGAAGGAAUUUUGAUUUACUCCUCUGCUCCUCGUACCUCUAAUUGCUUUUUUCAGGCAAUACUCCUCGGAGCAAUGAGGCUGCAAGAAAAGCACACAAAAUAAGGACAUGAGUUCAUUUCUUUAAGAUGAAAAAGUGAAGCCUUGCCAUCUUAGCUCAUCAAUAUACUAUGGAGGACAAGAUGUCUAUUCGCAUCCACCCAAUAGCCAGAGGAGCAGCUCUACCAAUACAACUGUUCUCCUUCUUGUUCU